rnacentral:tRNA from 1 species
GGGAAUUUGGCUCAGUGGUAGAGCGCUUGCCUAGGAAGCGCAAGGUCCUGGGUUCAAUCCCCAGCCCC